rnacentral:rRNA from 1 species
AUGCUCUAUGAUGAGCGAUACACACCGUAUGUAAGGGAGACAGGACUUCUCCCUUUCAUUCAUAUGGUCAGACGGUCGACGCCACCCAACAAUGCUCCAGCACUCACCGCGCUUAUUGAUCAUUGGCGGCCGGAGACACAUAGUUUCCAUCUACGGACCGGGGAGAUGACAGUGACGCUCUAGGAUAUUGCUAUGAUCACCGGUCUUCCUAUCAAUGGGAAUCCUCUAUGUAUGAGCACCGAUUCCGAUGGGUGGCGCGCGCAGAUGCAUGCCCUUAUCGGUAUGGUUCCUCCAGAGCCUCCGGAGCCUCUUUUUUUUCAGCUGCAAUUGCCCAAAGCUUCAUGGUUCCUUCUUCAAAAUCCUUUUGACGCUUCUUAUGUGCCUCCUCACAUUUCCUCACCAAUGCUUGCUCCCUAG